ensembl:lncRNA
UUUUUUUUUUGUACAAUAGCCAUUCUAUUGGGUGCAAAGUGGUAUCUAAUUAUGUUUUUUUUUUUUCUCUCUUUUUCAUUUUUGGCCGCCCCCCACGGCACAUGGAGUUCCUAGGCCAGGGAUCAGAUCUGAACUGCAGUCACAACUUAAGCUGCAGCUGUGGCAAUGCUGGAUACUUAACCCACUGUGCCGGGCUGGGGAUUGAACCUGUGACCCAGCACUGCCAAGAUGCUGCUGAUCCCAUUGUGCCAUAGCAGGAACUCCUCUCAAUGUGGUUUUGAUUUGCAUUUCUCUAAAUAUUGAACAUAUUUUCAUGGGCUUAAUCCCUUUUUGAAGGUUGUUUCCAUUCUACUUGAAACAUUAAACAUUGUGAAUAAUUAGUUUUACUUCUUUGAAAAAGUUUGCCAAUUUAAAAUAUGCAAGAAUAGUUAAUAGCAACCACCUGCCUCACUGGCCCCUCUUAGGCCCCAGGUCCUAUUUGUUUCAUGUCUAUUUCCUCCUCUAGGCAGACAGGGACUGCUGGGGAGUUGUGGGGGUUCUGGGAGGGUGGGGGCUAUGCCUCUAUUGCUAAUUACUAUAUUUCUGAUGUCUAAUACAAUAUUUGGCACAGUAGCCCCUGACACAGUUUGGUUAUCUAAUUUAGCAAAUCUAUUAAUGAGCAUAAACAGGUUUAACACUGAGAAGUCCUAGAGUUUCCUCUCUCAUCUCAAUGUAUGACAUCUCAUCCCAUGACCUUAAGAACCAGGUAUAUGUUGAUGACUCCAAAAGUUGAAGCCCUUAGCCUGACCUCUUCCUUGAGCUUUGGUUUCUUAUUUCUAGCUGUACAUUUAGAUACCCAAUAGGUGCUUCAAACUUUAUAUAUCUACAAGCAGGCAUUUCCAGGAUUUCUAUAUAGAAGAGUAGCUAUUUAGUUGACGAGGGCAUUCUUUUGUUUGGAACAUAUGUUUGUCUAUUGUUACUGGGGGUCAAGAGUGGCCAGUGGGCAUUACUGAGACCAAAAGUCCUCCAAGUCAACCCUUGAUGCUGUCAAAAAUGUCUAAGACAGGUCUCUUGUUUUUCCCUACCAAACUUGUUCAUCUUUAGGUAAUUACCUGUUCCAGCCAAAAGCCCAGGAGGCAUCUGCAUUGCGUUUUACCCCCUUACUUCUGACCUCUAGCACAUCAGUAAGAACUGUUGAUUGAUUUCCGUGUAUAUUCCUAACCGCCUAUCAAGUUUUCCACUGCUGCCAUAAUGGAGCUCUAAUUUACUACCAGUGCUUUCUACACACCUAGCUGGUCUCUGUGUGUCCACUACGGCUCUUCCUAUUUCUUCACCUCUAUCCCACAUGUUCCACCAAAUAUAUUCACAUAGCAGUCAAUUAUGUCCUGCCAAUCUAGUCUGGUCUCAAACUACCAUAACAAGGCACCAGCGUAAAACAUAACAAAACAAAACAGCUCCAUGAAACCUUACUUGGGACACUGAAAAAGUUAAUGUUUGUAUUUCAAAAGUUUUCCUCUUCAGGGCUACAGAAAAAUGUAUUCGAGAGCCUUUUUGUUUACAAAUUAGAUAUGUUGCUAAUUUGUAAGAGAACUAAAAGUAAGGUUUAGCUCUAUACUUUAUAUUGUGAACAGUGAAACAAGCAAACAAAGCAUGUUGUCUGACAAAAUAGUUUUCGUUUUUGUUGUUAUUUAUGGUUGUAUAUUUUGAACUAUCUUAGAAAGGCAAUUAGAGGAAGUCCCCCGUGUUUAGGCAUUUAAGGGAUUAUCUUCUUUCUUGGUAAAGGAUACAUGAAACUUGGAAAUCGGAAAAAUAUAUUUACUGUAAUACUUGAAAUAUCAAGAAUAGCCCAAUUAGGGUUUAUUUUAAAUUAUUUUCAAAUUUAAAAAUAAUGUAAUUAAAUUAUAGUUUAAUAGUUUAUGUUAUCACUUAAGAGUGGCUUGUAUAUUUUCUGAUUGGCUUAUAAGCAGAUGCGAUAUUACCGUGUUCAGGAUCACUCCCCUUAUUUCCCAGAAUAAUGAAAUUCAAUGUACCAUACAAUUAUGUAAGGACAAAUUUAUAGGUUAUUUUAUAACAUCGAUAGAAUUUACAUCUUUAGACACUUGUGACACUUGUGUCCAAAUACAAUGUUGUAUAGGUUUAUUAUUUCAUCUCUGCCUUACUUUGGUGUUUUACAUCCCAAAUUAAAUUUUCCAUGGAUCUCCUUAGGUAUAUUAUUAACCUCUGCAACAAAAAUAAUCUGUCACUAUAGCCACCAUUAUUAAUAAUCUUUGUAAUCUUUUUUUUUGUCUUUUGUCUUUUUAGAGCCACAACUAUGGCAUAUGAAAGUUCCCAGGCUAGGGGUCAAAUUGAAGCUGUAGAUGCAAGCCUACACUACAGCCACAGCAAUAUGGGAUCUGAGCCACAUCUGCGACCUACACAACAGCUCACGGCAAUGCCAGAUUCUUGACCCACUGAGCAAGGAUUUGGUGUUGCCUUGAGCUGUGGUGUAGGUUGCAGACAUGGCUCAGAUGUGUUGCUGUGGCUAUGGCGUAGGCUGGCAGCUGCAGCUCCAAUUUGACGCCUAGCCUGGGAACCUCCAUAUGGUGUGGAUGUGGCCCUAGAAAAGACAAAAAAAAAAAAAAAAGGGAAAA